AUUGAACGCUGGCGGCAUGCCUUACACAUGCAAGUCGAACGGCAGCACGGGAGCUUGCUCCUGGUGGCGAGUGGCGAACGGGUGAGUAAUACAUCGGAACGUACCCUGAAGUGGGGGAUAGCGUAGCGAAAGUUACGCUAAUACCGCAUAUUCUGUGAGCAGGAAAGAGGGGGAUCGCAAGACCUCUUGCUUUAGGAGCGGCCGAUGUCGGAUUAGCUAGUUGGUGAGGUAAAGGCUCACCAAGGCGACGAUCCGUAGCGGGUCUGAGAGGAUGAUCCGCCACACUGGGACUGAGACACGGCCCAGACUCCUACGGGAGGCAGCAGUGGGGAAUUUUGGACAAUGGGCGCAAGCCUGAUCCAGCCAUGCCGCGUGAGUGAAGAAGGCC
rnacentral:rRNA from 1 species